GGGAGCUUAGCUCAGUUGGUGGAGUAUACGUCUCAUGAUAGAAAUUAUCGAGAGGUAUCGUAAGGUCGUGAGUUCGAUCCUCACAGUUCCCA